rnacentral:rRNA from 1 species
GACGAAGGGGGCGAGCGUUGUUCGGAGUUACUGGGCGUAAAGGGCGCGUAGGCGGCGCUCCAAGUUAGGCGUGAAAGCCCCGGGCUCAACCUGGGAAUUGCGCUUAAGACUGGAGUGCUCGAGUGCGGAAGAGGUGAGUGGAAUUCCCAGUGUAGAGGUGAAAUUCGUAGAUAUUGGGAAGGACACCAGUGGCGAAGGCGGCUCACUGGUCCGCAACUGACGCUGAGGCGCGAAAGCGUGGGGAGCAAACAGG